rnacentral:lncRNA from 1 species
UCUACUUUGCCAUCCUCAAUCCACUUAUUGUCUUUGAGCCUCCUGGAAAAGUUCAGUUUUUAAGAGGACUAGAAAGAAUGGGCUGAAACCACAUCAAAAGUGGUGCAGGUGAGACGUCUAAACCGGUAGAAUGGGUUCUCAGGAGAGAAGAGCCCAACAUGUAAUUUGUAGACAGCGGGAUAAACGUGGGCCCUAUCUGUGGCAAAGGGUUUUAGAGAGGUUCAGAGUUUGCUUGAGGUGUUAUGUCUUUGUCUCCUAAAUAUGUCCCUGUCACGCACUGGCUUUGACAUGGGAAUAUUGUCAAGCCUCACUAGCCUAUGGAUUACCUCCACAUAACUCUGGGAGGAGGAUGAAUGACGGGAUUUCACACUGACUUUAUCUCCCUGCGGUCACAGUUUCCCUGACAGUGGGCAGGCAUAUUCCUUUACUGCAUGGUCUCAGUUACUUUCUCAUUUUCAGGUUGCUGAUGGCCUAGAGUAGCUGGAGAAAAGCUAGCUAUACAGAGUAAAUCCGCUUUAGCCCUCAAUUGGUUUUUCAGCCGCAUUUGACCUGGUUGACUUUGUUCCCCCCUUGAAACCGUCUUGUGUUCUUGGCUUCCUUGUGACCCCUUGAGACUCUUCCAGCUCCUCUGGUCUGGCCUUCUCAGCCCCAUUUCUGGACACAUAUGCAGUGUGGAGUUCUCUGGGCCCUUACGUGGUCCUCUCUGUGAGGGACUCUCUUCCUUCUGGUGGCUCUGCGUGUGGUCUGUGCCUCUAGCUCAGACUGUCCUCAGAGUCCAGCUUCUCUUCUGCUCAGCUGCCUUGCAGCCAUGAGCUUUGCAUGUGGGAAACAGCUUACCUCCCUCCUCCCCAGACUGGCUUGCUUUUUACUCUUUCCUCCAAGAUUUGUGGCAUGAUCAUCUUCUCCUAGCUCAGGCCAGGAGUUCUUGAUUCUCCCCUCUCUGUCAUCC